AUGGCGGCCUCCGCGGGGCCCUCUUCGUCGCCGGCGUCCCCGGAGCGGGAGCCCACCCGCUGGGAGGUGGCGGUGCGGCCCUUGCUCUCCGCCUCUUACUCGGCCUUCGAGAUGCGCGAGCUCCCGCAGCUCCUCGCCUCCGUCAUCGAAAGUGAAUCUGAAAUCUUACACCAUGACAAGCAAUAUGAACCUUUCUACUCGUCUUUCGUCGCGCUCGCGACACAUUAUAUCACAACCGUGUGCGGACUGGUCCCCAGGAACCAGUUGCAGUCCGUGGCGGCUGCCUGCAAAGUCCUGAUUGAAUUCUCUUUACUGCGACUUGAGAACCCAGAUGAAGCCUGUGCCGUUUCACAGAAACACCUGAUCCUGCUGAUCAAGGGCCUGUGCACCGGCUGCAGCCGCCUGGACAGGACCGAAAUCAUUACCUUCACGGCCAUGAUGAAGUCGGCCAAGCUGCCCCAAACGGUGAAAACUCUCUCGGACGUGGAGGAUCAGAAAGAGCUGGCCUCUCCGGUCAGCCCCGAACUGCGGCAGAAGGAAGUGCAGAUGAACUUCCUCAACCAGCUGACCUCCGUCUUCAACCCCCGAGUGGCGGCGUCUUCGAUGGCGCCACAGAGCCAGGGCGAAGGAGAGAGCGACGACCAGGCUUCCACCGAACAGGCCUCUGCGGCCAAAACCAAGAGCAUUUUCAUCGCCCAGAAUGUGGCCAGCUUGCAGGAGUUGGGCGGCUCUGAGAAGCUGCUGAGGGUCUGCCUCAACCUCCCUUACUUCCUGCGCUACAUCAACCGCUUCCAGGACGCUGUCUCGGCCAAUUCCUUCUUCAUCAUGCCAGCCACUGUUGCCGAUGCCACUGCUGUCCGAAACGGGUUCCACUCGCUGGUCAUCGACGUCACCAUGGCUUUGGACACACUUUCCUUGCCCGUCUUGGAACCGCUCACGCCGACAAGACUUCAGGAUGUCACUGUCCUGGCCCUCAGCUGCCUCUACGCAGGGGUGAGCGUGGCCACUUGCAUGGCCAUCCUCCAUGUUGGCACCACCCAGCAAGUCCGCACCGGCUCCACCAGCUCCAAAGAGGAGGACUACGAAAAUGAUGCGGCCACCAUUGUGCAGAAAUGCCUGGAGAUCUAUGACAUGAUCGGCCAGGCCAUCAGCAGCUCCCGCCGUGCCGGAGGGGAGCACUACCAGAACUUCCAACUCCUAGGGGCCUGGUGCCUGCUGAACAGCCUCUUCCUCAUCCUCAACUGAAGCCCACGGCUUUGGCCGACAAAGGGAGGAGAGGACCCCCUUGUCGCCCUUCGAGUGCGGGGACAUCAU
rnacentral:lncRNA from 11 species